ACAAUACAUGCAGCCCAAAACAGAGACUGACUUCCACAGCUAUAAAAGAAUAGAACAACAAUUAUAAACACGUGCAAAAAACAGACGCAUCUAACCGUUUUUGUUCAGUAGAUUUAUCAAUACACGCAAGAUGUUAGUGACUUUUCUGUUGGCGGCUGGUGUUGUCUUAAGUUUGAGCCAGGCCUUCAUUUGUCCGCCGAAAUUCUGCAACAGCUUCCACUGUCCUCGAGUCAGCAAGAAAACUUGCCAAGGGAAAUACGUCCCCCAGGGGUCCCGCUGUGGUUGCUGUGAUAUUUGCCUGCCAAUCAAAAAUGUAGGACCAGGGGACAGAUGUUCGACUGAGAUUAGAUUAAAAAAAAAGUACAAGCUCUGUCCUGAAGGAUACUACUGUCAGCUAACCAAAGAGAUUUGUUCACCCGUCACAUAAA